CAGUUUUCAAUACCCCCCCUUUUUUUUUCUUCCCUAAUUACCCAUAACUCUCAAGGCACGGGCACCUCCUGUGACCUUUCUUAAUAAACCUCAAGCGACCGCUGUUUCCUUGAGGCCAUUUCAAGAUCAGAGAGUUGGGGAAAUUCUCAAAACUGCUGGGAGCUUUGUAGCCAGGUAGCAAUACUAUUGCAAAGAUGAAAAUCCAGCCACGGAACGCAGGCUUCUUGCCAUCCACCAGGGACAACCUGAGUGCGUGCGUGCGUGCGUGCGCGUGCGUUCUGACUUGAAGCAUCUCAGGGAGCCUACAGCCUGUUGCCCACAGGAUGCCGGCCAAGCUCAUCUGCAUCCACUCAUCAAGACAGAGCGUACCCACAGCAGAGACCCAAAAGACUUCGCUGGAGGUCUUCAUUCUCCGUGGAAGAACAGGACAGCUCCCUCUGUGCGAAGGCCAAGGACCCUGGACACAGCAACACGCAGAGGCUGUUGACAGUGAAUAACUUCUGGUUGCUUCGUUCACCCGCAGGGAGAGGCGCAUACAGCCGGACUUCUCAGACCUACGGCAACUUGAUCUCUGUCCUGUCCCUGGGAAGGAAGAACACAGGCAUGGCUGUCCGGAGUUGACACUCAAUGGACACUGGGCACAGAUGGCCACAGCCAUGG